rnacentral:lncRNA from 1 species
UAAAGACACUUAACAUAAAACCUCACACUCUACUUCUCCUAGUAAUCAUCAAUCAACUAAAUUGGCCUAAUCAAUGAAGCUAAUGUUUAUUAACUGUUUAUAAUCGGUCAAACCACAUUUUAUCCGUACAUUAUGAGACAUACAAGUACAAUUCACUUAUACACCACUAAUUUCUAUCUGUUUAUAACUUUUAAACCGUUUAUAAAUACUUCCCAAACAUGCCCUUAACUUCAAUUUAUAAACUAUAUGUCACAUAGUCAUUUGUGAACCACUUAAAUUCCAGAGGUCAAUUGCAUUUCCAUCUUCCAUUCCACGAUCUUAUUUUAUAUAGCUUGUAAAUAAAACAAGAAUUCAGCGUUUGAAAAAUUCCGGGAAAAGGUUAGGAAGCUACAGCUGCAACCUGGAACUAAAUGAGCAGUCUCAAACAAGAGCCACCGAAGAAUGAUAUCAUUCACGAUAUUGACACGUCUUAAACAGUUUCAACUACCACUAAACAACCUCCCAUUUGUGAAGAGAACAAAUAUAAGAGAAAAAGUACAUAUGUAAAUUGAUGACUUCAUGAUAAUAUUCAGAGGACUGAAAACAAAUCAAAACUUAAGAAACACCUUAAAGAAUUGUAAACCAUCUCGGAAAAGUUGCAGAAACCGCAUAAAUUUGUCCCGAACUUUCUCAUAAAUUCGAUCCACCACCCGUCCAGGUAUCUAAAAUAACGUGUUAUUUUACACCUAAAAAGACAUUCCAGAUCGACCCAUUUUCAAUGUGCGCAACAAAUGCUUAAUUCCUGAAUCACAAAUGACAAUUUAAAAAGAAAAGCAAAACAAUGAAUCGGAAAACUUUUAACAACCACGAGACUAACAUCCAAAUGAAACAGCCUUAUCAUUUUCAGCAGCGUCCGUUAAAAAUAUCCCAAAAAAUGAGACUGAAUCCCAAUAAAAAGCUAUCAAAUUUCACCCGGACCCAUCAAAAAUUAGAACAAUCUUGUAUUGCCACACAAAAAGACAUUCAAGAGCUGACCCAUUUUCAAAUGUCACAAUUCAGAAAUGCAAAUAGAUAAGAUAAUAAGAUGUAAAGAAACAUGCCUGUAAGCGCUUAAUCGAACUGCAAAAACAUUCACUCAAAAUAUUCUUUAGUAAAUUCUGCCUGUGUGUAAAUUUUCGUGAGAGAUUAAUCAUGUACAGUUAUACAUAUAUAGAGGAAAGCGAGAGAGAAAGAAAGAGUUUUUAAGAGUUGAAUAAAGUGGAUUUUGGAGGGGAGAAAGAAUUUCUUGGAGUGAAGAAACUGCAAACAAUUUGUGGAGUGAAAUUGAAAAUGUAAAUCAAC